AUUCCAGCUCCAAUAGCGUAUAUUAAAGUUGUUGCGGUUAAAAAGCUCGUAGUUGGAUUUCUGCCGAGGACGACCGGUCCGCCCUCUGGGUGAGCAUCUGGCUCGGCCUGGGCAUCCUCUUGGAGAACGUAGCUGCACUUGACUGUGUGGGGCGGUAUCCAGGACUUUUACUUUGAGGAAAUUAGAGUGUUUCAAGCAGGCAUACGCCUUGAAUACAUUAGCAUGGAAUAAUAAGAUAGGAUCUUGAUACUAUUUUGUUGGUUUGCGUGUCGAGAUAAUGAUGAAUAGGGACAGUUGGGGGUAUUUGUAUUCCAUAGUCAGAGGUGAAAUUCUUGGAUUUAUGGAAGACAAACUAAUGCGAAAGCAUCUACCAAGGAUGUUUUCAUUG
rnacentral:rRNA from 1 species